UACGGAGGAUGCAAGCGUUAUCCGGAAUUAUUGGGCGUAAAGCGUCCGCAGGUGGCACUUCAAGUCUGCUGUCAAAGACCGGGGCUUAACCCUGGAAAGGCAGUGGAAACUGAAGCGCUAGAGUGUGGCAGGGGUAGAGGGAAUUCCCGGUGUAGCGGCGAAAUGCGCAGAUAUCGGGAGGAACACCAAUGGCGAAGGCAGCUCGCUGGGACGGUACUGACGCUGAGACGCGAAAGCGUGGGGAGCAAACAGG
rnacentral:rRNA from 1 species